GGAGUUUUGCAGUGGCAGUAUCGUAGCCAAUGAGGUUAAUCCGAGGCGUGAUUAUUGCUAAUUGAAAACUUUUCCCAAUACCCCGCCAUGACAACUUGAAAUAUAGUCGGCAUUGGCAAUUUUUGACAGUCCCACCUUAUCAGUGUGGUUGGAGCAGGGA
rnacentral:snRNA from 1 species